rnacentral:rRNA from 1 species
CAAUAGCGUAUAUUUAAGUUGUUGCAGUUAAAAAGCUCGUAGUUGGAUUUCGGUUAAGAGCGACCGGUCCGCCGUUUGGUGUGCACUGGUUGGUUUUAACUUCCUGUAGAGGACGUGCUCUGGGUUUAACGACCUGGACUCGGAGUCUACGUGGUUACUUUGAAAAAAUUAGAGUGUUCAAAGCGGGCUUACGCUUGAAUAUUUCGGCAUGGAAUAACACUAUAGGACUCCUGUCCUAUUUCGUUGGUCUCGGGACGGGAGUAAUGAUUAAGAGGAACAGUUGGGGGCAUUCGUAUUUCAUUGCCAGAGGUGAAAUUCUUGGAUUUAUGAAAGACGAACUUCUGCGAAAGCAUUUGCCAAGGAUGUUUUCAUUAA